rnacentral:rRNA from 1 species
GCGAGUUCGCACGAACUCCCCCAACCCGUGCGCACCUUACCAGCCGUUCGGCCCUGUUGCCUCCGGCGGGCCCCAAGCCCCGCCGGCCGGCGCCUGGCCCGGUCCCUGCCCCCGCGCCUGCGCGGGGGCACACCCCCCAAACCCCUGCCUGAAGCGCGCCCGUCUGAGACACACAAAUGGUACAAAACUUUCAACAACGGAUCUCUUGGCUCUGGCAUCGAUGAAGAACGCAGCGAAAUGCGAUACGUAAUGUGAAUUGCAGAAUUCAGCGAACCAUCGAAUCUUUGAACGCACAUUGCGCCCGCCAGCACUCUGGCGGGCAUGCCUGUCCGAGCGUCAUUUCCACCCCUCAGGCGCCCCUGGGCGCCUGGCGUUGGGGCCCUGCGCGCGCGCGCGCAGGCCCCGAAAGCGAGUGGCGGGCCGGCCCCCGGCGUCCGAGCGCAGUAGACCUUCUCUCGCUCAGGGCGUGCCGCGGGCCGCGCGAGCCAGCCGAUACAACCCCCCCCCGCCGUUGCG